UACGUAGGUGGCAAGCGUUGUCCGGAUUUACUGGGCGUAAAGAGCGCGCAGGCGGUCGUUCAAGUCGCGUGUGAAAGCCCCCGGCUCAACUGGGGAGGGUCACGCGAUACUGAUCGACUCGAAGGCAGGAGAGGGUAGUGGAAUUCCCGGUGUAGUGGUGAAAUGCGUAGAGAUCCGGAGGAACACCAGUGGCGAAGGCGACACGCUGGGCCGUACCUGACACUGAUACGCGACAGCAUGGGGAGCGAACAGG
rnacentral:rRNA from 1 species